GAUCAUGGCUCAGGAUGAACGCUGGCGGCGUGCUUAACACAUGCAAGUCGAACGAAGCACUUUAUUACGAUUUCUUCGGAAUGACGAUUUAGUGACUGAGUGGCGGACGGGUGAGUAACGCGUGGGUAACCUGCCUUAUACAGGGGGAUAACAGUUAGAAAUGACUGCUAAUACCGCAUAAGCGCACAGGAUUGCAUAAUCUGGUGUGAAAAACUCCGGUGGUAUAAGAUGGACCCGCGU
rnacentral:rRNA from 1 species